GGCGAGGUGGCGGGCGCCUGUAGUCCCAGCUACUCGGGAGAGAAUGGCCUAAACCCGGGAGGCGGAGCUUGCAGUGAGCUGAGAUCCGGCCACUGCACUCCAGCCUGGGCGACAGAGCCAGACUGCGUCUCAAAAAAAAAAAAAAAAAGAAGCUACAUCCACCUAGGGAAAGACAUCACACAGGUGCAGGUCGAUUCUGUAGAAGCUGACCCGCUAAACAUGAUCGCGGUGUAAAAGCACAAAGAGCCAGCCCACCACUGCCAUGCAGGUCAGGCGGAGGUAGGAGGCCUGCAAGAUGCGGAAAAACUGAGUUGACUGAAAGGACGGACACGAUUCCAGGAGGAGGAAAGGCAGGCGGAGCUGGGACCAACAGGCACUCCACACCCGGAAAAAGCCCAAAGGUUUUCACAUGACAGAAGAGUUUGCAGCUGCGGUCACAGCUAAGCCAUGGCAGGCUGGCUGCAGUGUUUGUAUUGAGUCCUUUUGAUGACAGCAUGAAUUCUGAGAACAAAGCUUCCAGGCUGUGGAUGUGUAACUGGAACCCAGAGACAAAAAUAGCUUCUCUUCUCAUGCAUAUGUGAGGUCUGAUCUGUAACUUUGAGAAAGAGUUUUUGCCAUUUAUAAAACUUAGAAGAUUCCUCAACAACCGCAAAUCCCAUGAAUGACUGAACAUUUUUAUUUGGCUGGAUCCAUCAGAUUUAAUAUUCUUUCAGCUAUUUGGUAGCUGCCUAACUUUUCCUUCUCAUUGAAAACUCCAGUGACUUUUGAAGCUGUUUUUGAGAUAUACGAAUAAUAGAGAGUGAUUUAGCAGAUUAAAAGAUUAGAGUUCUUAUAAUAACAUUAAAGAGAGUAUCAGGGAACCAAGUAGUCUGGAGAGAAUAAAGCUUUCCUCAAAGAGACGACUCUACAUGCUCAGCUGAUAUUUCUAAAUUGAGUCAGGAAAUGUUCCAGGGAGGACACAGCUAGCUUGUGCCUUAAUUCAGAGCCUGAUUUAGAUUUGUAUACCCUCAUAUAGGUCAGUACAAAAUGAAUCACGAGGAGUCGUGUAUUCAUAACUGGCGAUACAGAGAAAUUAAGAUAAUUUAGUUACAUGUCUUUUAAUAUACUUAUUAAUAAAACGACACACAUAGUUGUAUCUAAGUUCCUCUACCUACAUCAAAUAAAUUGCAUUAACUGAUAGCUUCAUCUCAUCUUUAACCACAUAUUUUAAAAAUACCUGUCAUUAAUUAUUCCAAUAAAUUGUAUUGCACUUAACAUUAUUUUAUAUACACCCUCAUUUUAAUCACCAUGUAAUAUGUUAUAGAAUUAGGAUUCUUAUGACAAAGUAACCAUUUCUGUAUUAUGGGGUGCUAACCUAUUUUUAUUCUCAUAAUUCUAACUACAUGUCUCAUUAUAAGUAUAGCUUUCUCUUAAUUUGAAUUAUUUCAUUCUCAGGAAGAGAAUGAUG
rnacentral:lncRNA from 1 species